rnacentral:rRNA from 1 species
GACGAACGCUGGCGGCGUGCUUAACACAUGCAAGUCGAACGGAAAGGCCCUGCUUUUGUGGGGUGCUCGAGUGGCGAACGGGUGAGUAACACGUGUGUAACCUGUCCUUGACUUUGGGAUAACUUCAGGAAACUGGGGCUAUUACCGGAUAGGAGCUCCUGCUGCAUGGUGGUGGAUGGAAAGAUUCGGCGGUGGGGGAUGGACUGGCGGCUUAUCAGCUUGUUGGUGGGGUAGUGGCUUACAAAGGCUUCGACGGGUAGGCGGCCUGAGAGGGUGGACGGCCACAUUGGGACUGAGAUACGGCGCAGACGCCUACGGGAGGCAGUAGUGGGGAAUAUUACACAGUGGGCGGAAGCCUGAGGCAGCAACGCCGCGUGCGGGAUGCCGGGCUUCGGGUUGUAAACCGCUUUCGACUGUGACGAAGAGUGAGUGACGGUAAUGGGUAAAGAAGCACCGGCUAACUACGUG